GACGGUGUCGAUGGCGGUGAGGAUCCACCUGUUCCCAUCCCGAACACAGAAGUUAAGCUCACUAGCGUCGAAAAUACUUGGCUG
rnacentral:rRNA from 1 species